CCCAGGACAGACAAGCCUCAAGCUUGCCCAUUUGGGCAGAAGGAUCCUCCUUGGAUCAUCACUGGUACAUGGCCUUUCCCUGCUGAAGGCUAAUGCACAUUUCCUUGACGGGUAGAAUAACCAGAAAGAUUUGAAAAAUGAUGGAAUAUCCAAUGCAAAGUGAAAUGUGAAACCAAGAACUGCCACGUAGUCCAGAACUUUCCUCUUUGGCAGAUAGAAGGACAACUGAUUGAGGAGAAGAAUACUGGCUACUGAAAUCCAGUGGUGACAUUACUCUUGGUGAGGUUUUGCUUCUUCCACCCCUAGAUGAUUUAUCUGCCUUUGAAAUAAACUGGAAUGAUCCCUGCAUCCUAAAGCUGACAACAGCAACAACAACAAAAGGGUUGGUCUGAUCAUCUAGGCAGGUCCUAGCAGCUCACAGUCUGUGUUUCAAGAGAUGAUGUCAUUUACCAUCUUGCAUUGAUGCUAUUGUAUUGUUGCAUUGGCUGCAACUGGUGGCUCAACCAAGCCUUCUCAAAAUUAUGAUCUGCAUUCUCCUAUUCUGUCUUGGUCCAUAAACCCCCUUGAGCCCAUCAUAAACCAAGCACAUAUGGUACUUGUCAGCAUUUGCCUGCCAUUCCUCAGCCUUGGCUUUCCACCACUGACCCUUCAUCUGACAUAACCGAUCUGGACAUCCCAGUGCAUCUUCCUGGAAGCCAGCUUCUACAUAAUAGAAUCUGGGCAAGCCAGCACAAUCUGACAAGAGCCCUGAGCAGAAG